ensembl:lncRNA
AAGAAAUGGCUCAUCACAGGCCAAUCCAUCCUGCCUUUCCGACUGCAGACAGUGGAAGCAUCCCCAUGAACCUAUCAAUGUGAUUAGUUACGAGUGUUAACGUUUUAUCUUCCUGUUGCUACAUCUCAGAAAUGUUUGCAUCCACCAGCACCUCUCACCAUAAAUAGCCUCGUUUCCAGUGAUAACUCAGGAAUUCUGAGAGUUACAUUUUGCAGCUGUACACUGCAAACUUUGCUAGGCUUGCUAAUAGUCUGAGCUUCCCAAAUGGCUGUGCAGACUGUCACCAAAAGUGGUGGCUUCCAGGGUCCUUCCUGCCUCCAGACUGCUCGGUCCAGGCCUCCACAGUGGCUGUUAGGUGCUGUUCUCUCUGUAUUGAGACUGGUCACCAAAUAAUUUGAAGAGAGCAUUGGCAGCACCUGUACUCUGUGCCAGAACAAUUUCUGGACACAAAUUCCACAAGCUUUGGCACGAACAUUUCAACUGUCCAAUGAAGCUGAACUCACAGUUCUCAUCAGAAAAUUGCCUCUUAUGUGGAUGAUAGUUAACUGGGAAGAACAAUUCAUAUGCAGGCAGGCAGGAGCUGUCAUUCAAAGGGUCCUUGACAGGCUGCAGGAGCUCAUGGGCUAAUGGGACCUUGUGAAGUCUGACCAAGGCAGAGUGCAGCCCUGCAGCUGUGCUGGGGCAGUCCCACGCACCAGAAGAGUCCAGAGAACCACUGGGUAGAAGUCAGGGGGUCCCAAUGGGCAGCGCAUUGAGUGUGGGCCUACACCAAGCAGAGCGGAGCCUGCAGGCUAAGGACACCAACUGCUCCCCUCUCCUCGGUGCUGGUGUGACUUUAGGCCUAGUGCUGGGCUCCCAGGAGAGCAAAGCUACUGAUUCCAGCCUGGUGGGCCAGAGCAUGGCAUGUCAGGAGGGGCUGCUGAGCAGUGUCCUCCGUCCUACUAAGUACCAAGGCGGCCAUACUGCUCCUUUCUUCUGGGCGGGAGCUGAACUCCCCACCAUUUUUCAAGCUUCUUUUUUCACAUGUUGCCAUGUGGUAUGGAAUAUCCCUUUAGCCAGUUUAGAUCAGCUGUACCGGUUUUGUCUGCACCCGUCUCCACCAACUGGCAGGGCAGUACCAGAAGCUGAGAAACAUCGGUCUGUUAUUAACAUCAUUGUUUUUCUCCUGAAGCCAAAAGACAGCAUCAUACCAGAUACUACGAAGAAAAGAUCAGUGCUGCCCCAGCUGAAACCAGGACAGAUGUAAGGACUGCCUUUUUGCCAUGAUGGCAGCUAAGCACUGAGCAGGCUUCCCAGAGAGGCUACAAAACCUCGCUUUUUGCAGACAUUCAUAACCGGACUGCACAGCUGCAUCUAAAUCCAAAGUUGAACAGGCGCUCGGAGCAGAUGAGCUACAGAGGGCCAUGCCACCAUAAUAUCUCCUUAUUCUAUUUGCAAAUCAUCUUGUUUCUAGAGAACAUGACAGAAAGAACUCCAUUUCUUCUUAAGAUGUUCUAAAUCAAAACAACCCUUUUGGCAAUGGCCACUCCCGUGCCUGAAGAGAUCAAAAAGAUUUUUUCUUGUCUAAACAACCGGCACAAACUGAAGAUUAAAAAGUGAGACAAAAGAAGACGGAAGCAUAUGAGGAAUGAAGGAGAUACUACGUGAGGUAUAGGGGAGCAGUAACACCAAACAGAAAGAUAAUAAGAAAAAGGUUUGUGAGGAGUAAGAGAAAGAAAUUGCAAUGAGUCACUAAGGAUGGGACUGUGAGAAAGGCCGGAAAAUGCAAAUAAGAGAGAAGCAGAAUGGAAAGAGGAAGGUGGUUUAACAGAGACAGGGAACAAUGGAGGAUAAAGAUCAGCUGGGAAGUAGAGAAAGCACAGGAUUUGUCCACCUCUUCUAUGCAGAAUUCUAACUGAAAUGGUCUUUACUCAGGAAAUGAGGAGGGACAAUUUUACUUCGGAGAUUCAAAAUGAACACAGAAGUAUUAAGUUACCCGGAGAUAGAUAUAAUGUAGGUUAGAGACUGGAGACCCUGCACACAAACUUGGGGUGCUUUGAGUUGGUACAUCUGGUAGUGAAGAAGGCAAAUGACUGCAGAUUCGUGUAAAACUUAUGAAGUGUAUUUUACAGCAUACACAAGCCUUGGCAAUUCCUGUCUUCAUACUACUAUUCAUCGCAUAGACCUGCUGAAGCCUCAUCUGGGAAUUAACUUCUGGAGUUAGAGAGGCACGCAAUGAGAUGACCAAUCUCUUAUGUGGGGUACCUUUAUCUUCAUCCUGGGAAGGUAUGUCUGUGCUGGUUCUCUCUGCCAGCAGAGGAAGCCCAAGAUAGCACAGCUCUCGGAGAGAGCUUAUGAAUGUUCUCCCUGGUGGUUUUAGUGCUGGUGAUAAGCAAGAGAACAGAAAGUCUCAAUGAAAAAUAGACUUUUUUUUUUUUUUGUAAAGCAGAAUCGGUUUACAGCACAGUGGAUGGACUUGAUGAGAGCAGCUUCUGCUUUCAAGGUUUUACAGAUCACAAGUGUUUUGUAUCAGAUCGCCUUGGCAGAGUGGGGCUGGUGACCAAAGUCUGGAUUAGGAACCACAAAAAUGCAGUUACCCAGCUCCUGUGGCUGAAUUGUACCACCUUAGACUGAGAAGUGUCAGGUUAUUACCGAGAGGAGGAACAGACCUGAGCUUGGGGACUCUUGCAGAAGGAAGUUGUAAAAUCUAAAAAGAAGUAGUGGAUCUUGACUGAGAAAGUCUCUGCUCUCAUGAAAGGCAUGAAAGACAGUUUUCUUCUUAGGAGUUUAAGCGAAAUAGUUAAAAGAGAGAAAUUCCUGUUAAAAUAGUUUGGUUCAGUGUUUUAAACCACAGAUGCAAUCACAGCGCUGUUGACUUGUGACUGCCAUCCACGGCUCCUUGCCACGUUCCUUUGAUACAAAUCUGCCUUCUGUAACCAUCUCAAGACAGAUUAAAUGAGUUGGUUUAUCAUUUUCUGGUUAAGCAUCAACAUGAAAAUAUUAACACAGUCAUUUUAAGGCUUUUUUAUAGAUGCAGCCCACUGGAGCAAAGUCAAGCUAUUAUUCAUCAUUGCUUCAAGCCCCUGGAACUCCUUCCUUGGAUCGUCCAAUAGAAACCUGGGCUGGAAUGAAGAUUAUUGUGGUGCCAAUUUCUAUCAGAAGUUUGGAUGCCCACAAGUUAGCAUGCUCUAAGGUAUGAAUUUUAGAAGCCCAGCAAACCAAUUUUUUACUGCUUCACUCCCAGCACAGUGGGUAUACAAUUCAUCAAUCAGUGUUAUAACAACAUAGAACUACGACUACUAAACACAUUUUCAAACCUUAUGCACAGAGCAAAAUACCACACAUAGCUAAAUGACUGGAAACCCUGGGGAAAUCCUACUCCUCAGUUCCUCCUGCUAAAUGUGGCUCACCCAGCAGCAAUGCAAGAAAUGCAAGACUGGGAUCACAAAAGCCAGCAGUGCUAGCUGCAGAACCUGUCUGAAUGCCCAAGACUGGGAGAGCCUUGAACACAGAUUCUCCCACCUGAAAAAGAAAUGAACUCUUACGAUAGAAAAUGGUGAUUAACAGCCUCGCCUACAUUAUUUAAAUCAGCUGUGAGCAUGUGUUGUGAAGAACUCAGUCUGCUUGAUGAAAGUCAAAUGUGCUUUGACUGCAGCUGCUGGAGUUCAGGGUACUGCUGGGAUUUGGGUGGAUCUUGCUUCUAGAGUGAGGGGUGUUGGCAGGAGUGACCGACCUGGCCAGGAAAGCACUGAGCUCUUGCUCAGUACAGAACUUCAGGCAUCAUUAAAUCUUUGCAGGCUGCUGUGGUUUCGCUGGGGUUGCUUUGAGUGCAAAGGGCUGCGGAAGUUCUUUACCACGAGACUGAAGUGCUGGAACAGGCUGACCAGAGACGCUGUGGGUGCCCCGUCCCUGGAGGUGUUCAAGGCCAGUCAAGUCACAACCCCAGUCUUCAUAGUAAAGGACGAAUAAACAGCUUUAGUACUCCAUUUGCUUGCCUUUAGCCGAACUUGCAAGAGAAGAUACACACUUUGCAGUGACCCAGCAAGAAAAGCAGCUGGCAGCUCAGGAGACAGGCACCAAUAUGCACCAGUCAUUGACAACGGCUCAGAACACGGCCAACUUCAUUGUAAAGGUGCAGCUCAAUGUGGAGUCACAUAUGUUGCCCACAAUCAGCACCACUGUGUGGUAUUGCAGAGAGGUUUUGGUAAGCAUGACUUUGCUUCACUUUGGAGAAGGCCGAAUCGGAAGAGUCACCACAAACGUGCACCAAACGACAGAUCCAUAGCGAGGCUCUACAGGCCUGAAACACGGGGUGAACUGCAUCGCGGUGAAGCCCAUCAGGGUACUGUGAGCACUGAAACAGGCUGCCCGGGGCAGUGGGCACGGCCCAGAGCUGUCAGAGUUCAAAAAGCGUCUGGAGAACGCGUAGGAAGGUGCGCGCGUAACACGACGCGUGGCCGUGAGGGCCGUGAGGGCCCCGCGGGGCCUUGCCGGGGCCACCGCCGUGCAGUGCUGCCGAAGCGCCACCAGAGGGCGGCAGAGGGCGGCUCCCGCCGGUGCCUCCCGGUAUCCCCGCGCUGUGCCGGCGGCAGGGGGCACGCGGGCCGCCCUCUGCGCCUCGGAGCAAUCAGCAAGAGCCUUGACAAGUGCUGCCAUAAGGAUCUGACUAUCUGGCUUUUUUGAAUGAUUCCUGAAGGCUGCGAUUCAAUGUCUCCGUGUAAUGGAAUUGAUUUCCUUCAGUUAAGUUGGUUUCUCCCUUGGUUUUCUGUGAUGGCUUUAACCUGCGGCGCCAUGAGCAGGCAAUCUGAAGGCUGUGGUUGGUGACUCAUGCAUUAGUUUUGCCUCUGGCAUUGCUACGGAAAAUCCAUUUCCGUCCAAACUGAAGCUGUCUGUUGAGCGUUAUGUAGUGUGCUGCCUUCGUUUUCUUUUCAAUGAAAAGCUCUUCCAUCUAGAAAUACACGUUCAGACUCUUGCAUUCCAGGUAUGUUUCUGGGGAAGACUGGAAAUACUUUUAACCUUCUCCUCACGGAAUGUAUGUAGGCUGCUCCGAAAGUAAUGCCUUCUAUUUAUUCCCAUGGAAGCUGCAACAGUUAUAAAGAGUACAAUAACACCGUUUGAUAGAACAAAUUCUCAGCUACAAAGCACUAUUUUUCAACAUGGUCGCCAUCAUUAGCUAUGCAUUUUCAUCCGUGAUGCACAAGAGCCUGUCCAGAACAUAGCUUAUCUUUCACGUUGCUGUUGAAAUGCACCACGCACCCACUCACUGUUCUCACAUCCACUGUUUUGUCUCCAUAAAUGUUCAGCAAGCGUCCAUGAAUGUCAGUGGGUGCCAUUUUUUCUGCGUGGAGAAAUCUGAUGAGACACCUUUCUUUCAUCCACCCUGCCUUGUCACAGACCAUUGUAUACGACUGUCCCUCUGCUGCCAUCUGUCACAUGGCAAUAACAUGUAACAGAAUAUUGGUAGGAAGGUUCAACCUCCACUGCCGUACCACCAGCAUCCACCUCUGAUGUUGUGGGCCAACAUAAUAAAGUAGGAGGCAUUACUUUUGGAGCAGGCCUUGCAUUUAGGGAGACAUUCGUCGAGGAUCAGUUUGACAUGGAUGCGUGAGGCAGGAAUUCAUGAAUUUCACCGUGUCGAACAUCCAGGUCUUGGUGCCUGUGAGAUGAGUUUUCUCUUCUAAACAGCGGAAGUUAUCUCCUCUCCGCCUUCUUUCUGCCUGCCUUUCGUCCCAGCAAGGCAGGAAACUGGCUUUGCUAAUUCUUUAGAGAUCUCUGUGGCUUCCUAUCACUUACCUACCAGGUCUUUCUCCAGUAAUCUAUGAAGUCUUCUGUGAUGACAAGUGAGAAAUCUGGUGAUUGCUGCACAUCAGGUAUCAGUCGUGGAAGGCACACUCUGGUCUGGGAGCUGGAGGCAGGAAGCUCCUUGGCCUGUAAUCCUACAUUUCUACUUUAACAGCACAUACAAUUUGAGAUAGCUGUGAGCAAACGAAGCUGAAGGUUGGAAUUCAUGAAAAGAGAAGCGUUGUUUUUGCUAAUUGGCUAACAUCUGAAGGGUUUGGCAAUGUGAUUACCAGCUGCUAUAGUCUGCAAUUGAUGUCACCUUCUCUUUGUAUAUAAACAUUAGUCAUUUGCUAAAGAAUGUGAAAAACAGGUGUUCCCUGUUCAUUGGAAACCUAUUCUUUUAAUGGGAUACUAUAAGAUAGCACCUGACAUAGAACAAUCCCUCGUAUGUUUGCUGUUAUUAACAUAAACACACUUGAACAGUUCCUUAUGCGGUGCCAUUGGUAUGCGUAGCACAGCAAAGAUAAACAAAAUGACAGAUGCCUAAACCAGAUGAAACUACAAUUAACCUAAUGACAGACAAAAAUAAAGGAAGUGUGGCAGGAAAAUGUGAAGGAACAUAAAAAUCACUGCAAGCUGCACUCGUUAGCUUUGUUUUUUUCUUUUUAAAGAAGUACUUCUACAGUUUGUAGCCAAUACAGGAAGUGAAGGUUGAAGCUGUAACCUUGCAGAGGGAAAUUUGGCUUCCAGACGUGACUCUUUGAAAAGGUUUUGGAAUACAGGAGUGCUCUGCACACAGGAUGAGAAAAGACAUUGAAGAAUAAGCAGUAUGCAUGGAAAAUAACCCACAGUGAUUAGCGGAAAAAGGGAAUAAAGCUAUGUCCCAUAGGCGUGCCCUCUGGAGAGCUUCAACUCAACCUUCUUAUCAGCUGUAGAGUGCAGCAGGAAAAUUGGUACUGUGGCUCUGUAUGCACUCAAACUGGUAUGUUUAGCUUGAAUUUCCAUGAACAGAUUUCUUUAGAAAAUUUCAAAUUUGUGCACAGGAUUAAAUUCAAUAGGCAUUAAAUAAAAUAUACCUAAAUGAGAACGUAAUAAAAAGCAGCUAUUUGUCUACAGCAAGCUUUAAACGUUCCCAAGCAGCGUGCUCAAGGACAUUCACAUGGAGCUGCUUUGGCAGAGCAGAGGCUCGCUAGGUCAGAACAAGGCUCCCUGCUUCCAUCAGUAGAGCUGCUGAGUGCAGGCAGAGCACUGGAUUCACCCAGUGGGCUCUGGGUGCCCCAAGCCAGCCCAAGGGCCAGCAGCUCAGCUCCCGCUCUCACACCCCCAUGGGAUCCAGUUAUCAUAAAACUGUGUUCUGAAGAUAAAAAAUGAUCCAAGGGAUGGAACAUCUCCCCUAUGAGGACAGGCUGAGGGAGUUGAGGAUUUUCAGCCUGGAGAAGGCUCCAGGGAGACCUGGUAGCGGCCUUUGAGUAUCAAAAGAGGGGCUGUAAGAAAGAAGGGAACAGACUCUUUUGCGGGGUCUGCUGUGAUAGAAAAUGGGAAAAUGGUUUCAAACUAAAAGAGGGAAUAUAAGGAAGAAGCUUUUAAGAAUAAGGAUGGUGAGGCACUGGCACAGGUUGCUCAGAGAGGUGGCGGAUGCCCCAUCCCUGGAGAUACUCAAGCUGAGGCUGAAUGGGGCUCUGAGCACCUGAUGGAGCUGUAGGUGUGCCUGUCCAUUGCAGGGGAGUUGGACUUGAUGGCCUUUAAGGGUCCCUUCCAACUUAACCCAUUCUAAGAUUUAUGAAGAUUAGAGGGGUAGCUUUGAAGAUUGAGGUUACAUGAGAUGAGGCAUGCUCAGAACAACACAGUUCCAAAUUAAAAGUAAGGUUAAUUUUUGUUCUCGUAAUCAGAGUUACGUUUUUAAUGCAGGAGAUAGACAACUACCUAACAGUGCGGAACGCUCAGCUGCGGGUGAGCAGUCAAGCAGUGCCCCAGUAGAGCUAAAACAUUUUGCUGGGUUUGUGACAGCAUCGUUUUUUUCUCUUUUUUUUUGGUCUGUCACAAAUUGCCAUCGUCUCACAGCCAAAAUUGUUGGAAUUUUUUCCAUUGUGCACGAAGCAUUUUUAAACAAUAAUUCCAUCUAUUCUUAGCGAGAUGUUCUUUGGUGUGAAUUCUAUCUAUUGUUAGAAAGUGCUUUUGAGAAAAUAUGAUUCUAAUCUUAUGGCUUUUUGCCUUGAUAUCAAGAGACUUACUACCAAAUAUGCAGUCAUAUCUUUUGUUAAUAGAACCAAGUUACAGGAUCUAUUCAUAGAGCAGUAAUAAAUAAUGGUGGCAGCGGGGAGGGAUAUAUGUCAUUUUAGUUCUAGAAAACUGAUACUCCCAAAGGAUAAUGAUAUGAGGAAAAUUAGCUGCUGUCAACCUAGUUCAUAUAUAGUCUGUAUUGUAGGGAAAAAAGAAUGUAUUGGAAUAAACUCUGUGGAAAGAAAAAUGACAUUUAUAAGUAAGUUUUUCCAGCCAAAAGCCAUUUUUUUUCUAUUUCAGCCCCAAAGUGCACCCCUGACAUUUGCAUCGAGGGGCAUAUUUAGAUAUUUAGUGCAGUACAGUCCCAAAACUUUAUCAGAACGUUGGAAGCUGUUGUAAACAAGGAAACCAAAGUCAGGAGUCUCUCAGCAGAAAAGAGACCACCACCUGAAAUGGUUGCUGCUCAGUGUCUAGGCUUUCCUUUAUUCCCAUGGCAGAGUACAGGCCAUGCUAAGCAAGCUGAUCAAAACUGCAGAGGAGCUAGUGGUGGGAGAAAAACACAUCAUCAUAAUGUAUGCCAAGUGGAGGGUGGCAGGGAGACCCAACGGAGUGCCAUGCCUUUCACAUACACAACUUUCACAUUCUGAAUAAUUGUAACUUCCCUCAGUGUGACUCCCACAUUGCUCUAUCAGACCUGAUAAUGAAGUUAAAUCAGUCCAGUCCUCGAUCUCCGAUUUAGGCAGAUGUUAAAAUGAUAUCUCACUGCUUCUCAUGCACAUCUCAUGCGCUGUUUUUGGGGUGUUUGGGUUUUUUGUGCUGAUUUGGUUCCAGGGAACAUGCAACGACCUACAGAUUUGUUUCCCUAAUCGUGUCAGCUAUUGGCAGUACUGGUGUCCAAGACCUGUAAACCAAGGAAUAGUUUUGUGUGCAGCCCACUUUUUGAGGACAGCCAGGCCAGAAAGCUGUGCAUGGCAGACUGGAUGUCUGUAGGAGCCAGCAACUGUGAAUACAAAAAAGCUGCAGUCCCUCAACUUCUCCCCACAGGUUUCCCCUGGCAAUCCUGGCAUUGGAUCUUGUGAAGGAAACACCUGGCCCUUGGACUACACAAAGUCUAACAUCAGAGGCGCCAAUCAGCACUGUGAUGUUAUGCAUUCCAAAAGCUGAGAGCGUCUGGCGAAUGAAGCAAGAAACUGCACAAAGGGAAAGUCUGGUGAUUCAGUCAGCUGCUCCAUGCCCAGAGAAGUGGCCUACGGCCCUGCCCUUCCCACAGCACUCUCCAUUCCUCAUGCUGGUGGCCAGCCAUCUACUACAGACAUUACUGAAGAGCAGUACUUGCAUCGUCGCCUUUAGGCAACUGAAAAGUAUGACUGACAUAAAAAUCCAGAGCUUUCAAAUCCAGAGGCCCUCAUUGCUGGUAGAAACAAGAGAGGGAAAUAUAUUCAUAUUCUAGACAGGCACUAGAGAGAGGUUCUCUGCUUAAAACUGGACUAAAUCUCCAGCUUCAUACGUCAACAUGAAGGGAGGAGUAACUCAGCACUGCUCUCUCCAGCAUCACAAGGCUCUGAAGGUACUGCCUCUGACAGACUUUUUUUCUCUGAGUGGAUGAGUUAUUGAUCAAGUAAGAGAUAAAAAAAAUAGGCACUUACUUUGUGCCACAUUGCUCUGAUCAGUGAUAGAAGCUCACUGCUGGAUACCGAUCUUAAUACAAUCUCAUGAACUCAGCAGAUCCUUUUCCUUAGUCUGCACUAAUGUCAUAUUAAGUGUCUUUGUGUUUUUUACCAUAUUAAGCAUUUCUGAAACUUGAAGAUUGAUUUUGGUUUGAUUUUAAAGGGCUGAGAGAUUUUAGAAUUAGAUUUUAAUAGCCAAUUAUAGAUUAUUAAACAGUGGAAAAAAUUUAAAGCCAUUAAAAUAAUCUUUUAAACCUUCCUUAAAAUUACAUGCGAUCCACUGAGAAUAUUCAUCCAGCUGUAUUUGAAAAAUAUUAAUUGGAAGUCAGUGCAAAUAUAAAUGCUAAUGUGAACUUAACCAGAACGUGAGGGUUUCUGAACUGGAAAAGCUCUCAGAGCACACAGAAGUCACCUGUCAAGGUGGUUUUGGGACAACCAUAUGUACUAUGGGAUGACGGAGGGCAAAAAUUACGGAGGGCCACUAUGUGACUAAUUCUGCUUACUUCUAUUUUGUUUGUUUGAACAUCAGAAAUUCCUCACACGUAUCCUGUGUCUUCCAGUGAUUUGUUACACCUCUGUAAAAUACUGAUUUCAUUUCUAAGGGUGUUUCUGCCUUUAAAGAGCAGUAUCUGUCUGGCUCAGUUGGCAGUGCUGACCAGAAUAAAAACAAACAAACAACAAAAAACAAAAAUAAAUGAACAAAUAAAUGAAAAACAUCCCUGAUCAAAUAUCAGUAACUGUUACAGAACAGGAACUAAAAGAGGGGAGAUUUAGGUUAGAUGUUAGGAGGAAAUGCUUUCCCCAGAGGGCAGUGAGGUGCUGACACAGCUGCCCAGAGAAGCUGUGGUGCCCCAUCCCUGGAGGCACUCAAGGCCAGGUUGGAUGGGGCCCUGGGCAGCCUGAGCUGGUGGGGGGCAGCCCUGCCCACGAAGGGUUGGAGUAGGGUGCGCUGUGAGGUUCCUUCCAACCCAAAUCAUUCUGUAAUUCUAUGAUUAUGAAUGUUAUAUUUCAAUUAAUGUUAUCAUAACAAUGCUAUGGAUAUGAUUUUUCUUAUCUCAGCUUGCUGGGGAAUAGUGUAAAGAAUUUUCUGAAUGGGUAUAGCCUUUGGGGUGCCUGAGAUAAAGUAUUUUCACACACAUCCACCCCAUGUGAAACGUGCAGAAAGCCAAAAUAAACCACUGAAUUGGAUUUUGCCUUCGCUUCAGGAAGGACAGAAUAGUAGGGACUAUUUCUCAUACUUGAUCGCUAAUUUGUUGGCCAGUCAUUGUGGCAAUUAAGGAAAAAUGAUCACUUCAGUCCAAGCUGAGUGAAAUAAAGGGGAGAUUUCUUGUUAUGGCUGGGAAAAUCACAGAAAGCGUCACAGAAAUACGGAAGGAGCUAUGAUGGAUAUGCAUGGAGAAGACAGAGAACAAAUGCAGCAAAUAGGAAGCAUCAACUACUGAUAUGACAGAGAUUCAGAAUCACAGAAUGUCUUAGGUUGGGAGGGACAUCAAAGCCUACCCAGUCCCAACCCCUGCUGUGAACAGGGCUGCC